UACGGGGGGAGCAAGCGUUGUUCGGAUUUACUGGGCGUAAAGGGUGCGUAGGUGGUCCGUUAAGUCAGUUGUGAAAUCCCCGGGCUCAACCCGGGAACUGCUUCUGAUACUGGCGGACUUGAGGCCAGUAGGGGUCACUAGAACUGACGGUGGAGCGGUGAAAUGCGUAGAUAUCGUCAGGAAUGCCGGUGGUGAAGACGGGUGACUGGGCUGGUUCUGACACUGAGGCACGAAAGCGUGGGGAGCGAACGGG
rnacentral:rRNA from 1 species